rnacentral:rRNA from 1 species
AACGAACGCUGGCGGCAGGCUUAACACAUGCAAGUCGAACGCACUCUUCGGAGUGAGUGGCAGACGGGUGAGUAACGCGUGGGAACGUACCUUUCGGUUCGGAAUAACCCAGGGAAACUUGGGCUAAUACCGGAUGCGCCGGAAACGGGAAAGAUUUAUCGCCGAAAGAUCGGCCCGCGUCGGAUUAGCUAGUUGGUGGGUAAAGGCCUACCAAGGCGACGAUCCGUAGCUGGUCUGAGAGGAUGAUCAGCCACACUGGGACUGAGACACGGCCCAGACUCCUACGGGAGGCAGCAGUGGGGAAUAUUGGACAAUGGGCGAAAGCCUGAUCCAGCCAUGCCGCGUGAGUGAAGAAGGCCUUAGGGUUGUAAAGCUCUUUCAGCGGGACGAUAAUGACGGUACCCGCAGAAGAAGCCCCGGCUAACUUCGU